CCUGCAGAGAAAAUGGUCCAGAACGGGUCAAACGUGCGGGAUCACGUCAUUACACGGCACGGAGACACCAGCGGGUCCCAGUUGCCACUGAGGGCUCGCAGAAGCGGGCAGCACCAAGAGCAGCCUGCUGUUCCUUUAAAAGUCAUUUCACGGUAACAUCCACGCCUGUGUGGUGCAGGAACAACAGCGCACAUUUGUGUGGAUCGCAACCAAAACAAACGUGCACAUGUUUCACAGGAGAUAAACGAUUGGGUCUGAGAAGACCACGUGACAAUAAACCGCUCGGGAACGCGGAUACGGGAGCGCGCAGCCGUGCAAACUACUCGAUCACGCCAUGUGUGGAAGGUAUAAAGGUACAGUAUGACUGUUAUCAACGCAUCUGUACAAUAUAACUAUUCUUAAAAAUUAUUUGAUUCUUGCUCAUGAACCCAUGUAACCCAUGUCUAUAUACACGAGUGUUAUACAUAAGAAGCCAAGCAGUAAUUUAUCAAUUAGAGAUUUUUUAUAGCUGCAUCCAGUACCAAACUAUUUUUAUAUAAUACUAUAUAUUUAAACCUAUUGUGCUUGUAUGUGUCUGGCUAGAAUUAAUCUAUUAUAAAAUUAAAAAUGAAUACCAACAAAUAAAGGUUAUGUACUGUACAGUUAUUAAAUUGACUGAUGCAUGCAUUUUAUAAUAAACUGUUAAUUCUGAAAGGGAAUUCAAAAACAAAUUUUGAGAUUUUUAUGUUAUGUUUAUAAUAUUGUACAACACAGAGAACACACCUAUUGUCUGUUGGUAGAGUUUAUUAUCGGGCCUAAGUAUAGGAUCAAUGCACUUAACUGAAGUUAUUGAUUGCUUGAGAUUUGUACAAGAAAAAGCUUGAUUUUGACCUUUAUAGUACAGAAUGUAAAUGAGUCACUGAAAAAAAUUUAAAAACACAAAAUAUACAUAAAUAGUUUCUAAGCACAUCAGUAACUCAACAGAGGAAGACAACACUGGUGAAAUUGCAACAUUUCCAGAUCUGAAGAACUGUUCGUGAUUUAAACUGGUUUAUUUCACACAGUGCAAAAGUUUACUGAACCCAAAAGUAGACAGAUGUGAGACAAAGUGAGCGACUCCUACUGCUACACGUCUGUUUUAGCCUUUAGUCAAAGCCUCCUGGAUCAUUACUUAACAAAACAGCCCUGUUUACUGGCUGCAAAUAUAACACUAUCAUCUGCUUCCAAGGUUGUAAUUUGCCCACAGUUUAAACCUUAACUCAGAUCAUGUUUAUUGCUGGACCACAAGGCAGUGUCAGAGUCAGGAGCGUUGCAGGAUAAAAUCAAAUCAAAUCAAAGGUCUCAUUCAAAUCUGGCGUAUGGAUUUGGACCACUUAGACCUGGAAAACCACAAAGCAGUGAGUCAAUGUAAGUACUUGUUUAAAUGAAUAAUAAGUCAGGAAAAUAUGACAACUCAUUCUGUUAUUUUCUAAAGUUUAUUUUUAAAGAGUUUUAUUUAGAAGACUGCUAAUAAAGUGGAGAAAGCUGUUGGCAGAUGUAACAACUCACCAUAUUUCUUCCUGAUUUCUUCAUGUCUCUGUUUCAUCUCUGCUUUCCUGUAAGGACAAAUGCUUGUUACGAGUCACACUUUGACUGAUGAUAUUUUUACCUUUGUAACACUCCCAGGUGACGUCACCACAAACCAGUUUGGCCUGAUAACAUAAUGACAUGUGCAUUUUUGCUGAUAGCCAUCAGCCUACAAUACAACAGCAGCAGCUGCUGUGUGUCACAAGUAACAGGGAGGAAACUAACAGAGGCAACACAGACAAUACAACAAGCAAUCCAAGACCACAACUAAAGGUCAAACCGAGUCUCAUGGCAGCUCCAUGUGAAUAAACCUUUACCUUGUGCUUUCAAGGUUGUUUGUGGGCACAAACACAAAAAGACUUGUCUUUAUUGUUUCUCACCUUUCUUCUUGCUUUGCCUUCGUCUUACUGGCCUGUCUCAUCAUCUUGGCCUCAAAACUUGUGUUUCUGACACAAACACAAAAAAGCAAAUGAAUGUUAUGAUAUAUUAAAUCACAAGAAACUACACAGGAUCACUUACAGUAUGUGGUCAUGACAUGAUAUUCGUCAUCCUGUAAUGAUUUACUCUCCAACCACAGAACUGCUUACACGCAAUCAUAUCACCAAACAAACUCCUUUGCAACGACAAACCAGCCUGGAACGACUGGAACUACCAUCAGCCCAGUUUUCCAGAACCAAGUAGCUGUGGACUAUAGCUGCUGAUCAGGUGAUCCUUUUGGUUAUUCUUCCCUGCACACGCGGAUAUGUGCCAUAUUUCGUACAGAGAUAUUCAUACAGCACGAAGCAAAGAGAGGAAGUGGAAGCUGUGGUUUCCAUACAAACCCCAAUACCAUGACUGAGACAGAAUCCUAAACGAACACUCACCCGCAGUUCUCACACUUGCAGCAGCAGAACAGGCAGACGAAAAAUGCGAUGAUAAGAACUCCACCGAUCACGGACAAGGUGAUUAUCAGGAUCUGGAAGUUCACUAAAGAGAGACACAGCGUGAAACAGGAAACCAGAGAUCAAUCCAUGCACUGCUGUCCUGCAGUAAGAAUUGACAGUUUAAAAUGUUUGCCCUACUAUUCUAACAAUAAAGUGGCAGAUUACGGGGUGCUUUAGUUUAAGUAAUCCUCUUUGGACAAAAAUGUGAUCAGCCAUUUUUACACAUAUCUUCUAAGUUAUAAAAAGUAUAACAUAUUUACCCACAGUGUAUUUUUUUCUAUAUACAGAUAUGUUGAUAUGAUUAAACUGCAGAGGAAUAAUGUCUGUGGAAGUCAUAGAUUUGCAGGCAGUUUAAUUAGCAGUUAGGUGAUAUGAUAUUACAUAAUUAUGCAAAAAAAUAUAGUUAAAACAGUAUCAACAAAACUGUUGACUUAUGUGUGAUCAUUUCAUACAUGACUUUUCUUUAAAUAUUUUUUAUUUAUAAAAUGGACGUAGUAGAAAUGUUUUAUUUGAUUACCUAAAAUGAGCUGUGCUGAAUAAAGAGCUCAGUGAAAGGAU